rnacentral:rRNA from 1 species
AGUGAACGCUGGCGGCAGGCCUAACACAUGCAAGUCGAACGGCAGCACAGGGGUAGCAAUACCCUGGGUGGCGAGUGGCGGACGGGUGAGGAAUACGUCGGAAUCUGCCUAUUUGUGGGGGGAUAACGUAGGGAAACUUACGCUAAUACCGCAUACGACCUACGGGUGAAAGCGGAGGACCUUCGGGCUUCGCGCAGAUAGAUGAGCCGACGUCGGAUUAGCUAGUUGGCGGGGAAAGGCCCACCAAGGCGACGAUCCGUAGCUGGUCUGAGAGGAUGAUCAGCCACACUGGAACUGAGACACGGUCCAGACUCCUACGGGAGGCAGCAGGUGGGGAAUAUUGGACAAUGGGCGCAAGCCUGAUCCAGCCAUGCCGCGUGUGUGAAGAAGGCCUUCGGUU